CAGCAGCCGCGGUAAUACGGAGGGUGCAAGCGUUAAUCUGAAUUACUGGGCGUAAAGCGCACGCAGGCGGUCUGUCAAGUCGGAUGUGAAAUCCCCGGGCUCAACCUGGGAACUGCAUUCGAAACUGGCAGGCUAGAGUCUUGUAGAGGGGGGUAGAAUUCCAGGUGUAGCGGUGAAAUGCGUAGAGAUCUGGAGGAAUACCGGUGGCGAAGGCGGCCCCCUGGACAAAGACUGACGCUCAGGUGCGAAAGCGUGGGGAGCAAACAGGAUUAGAUACCCCUGUAGUCCCUGUCUCUUAUAC
rnacentral:rRNA from 1 species